UACGUAUGGUGCGAACGUUGUUCGGAAUCACUGGGCAUAAAGAGCACGUAGGCGGUUAAGCAAGUCCAUUGUGAAAUCCCCCGGCCUAACCGGGGAACUGCAUUGGAUACUACUUGACUUGAGUGCAGGAGGGGAGAGUGGAAUUCCAGGUGGAGCGGUGAAAUGCGUAGAUAUCUGGAGGAACGCCGGCGGCGAAAGCGACUCUCUGGUCUGUAACUGACGCUGAGGUGCGAAAGCUAGGGGAGCAAACGGG
rnacentral:rRNA from 1 species